rnacentral:rRNA from 1 species
GUUGAACGCUGGCGGCAUGCCUUACACAUGCAAGUCGAACGGUAACGCGGGGCAACCUGGCGACGAGUGGCGAACGGGUGAGUAGUGCAUCGGAACGUGCCCAAUAGUGGGGGAUAGCCCGGCGAAAGCCGGAUUAAUACCGCAUACGACCUAUGGGUGAAAGCGGGGGAUCGCAAGACCUCGCGCUAUUGGAGCGGCCGAUGUCAGAUUAGGUAGUUGGCGGGGUAAAGGCCCACCAAGCCUGCGAUCUGUAGCUGGUCUGAGAGGACGACCAGCCACACUGGGACUGAGACACGGCCCAGACUCCUACGGGAGGCAGCAGUGGGGAAUUUUGGACAAUGGGGGGUAACCCUCGAUCCAGCCAUGCCGCGUGCGGGAAGAAGG